UCGAGAAUCUUCGGCAAUGGGCGCAAGCCUGACCGAGCGACGCCGCGUGGAGGACGAAGGCCUUCGGGUUGUAAACUCCUGUCGAGGGGGAGGAAGCCGCAAGGUUGACCGAUCCCUGGAGGAAGGACGGGCUAAGUUCGUGCCAGCAGCCGCGGUAAGACGAACCGUCCGAACGUUAUUCGGAAUUACUGGGCUUAAAGCGCGUGUAGGCGGCUCGGCACGUCGGACGCUGAAAUCCCCCGGCUCAACCGGGGAAGUGGCGCCGAUACGGCCGGGCUGGAGGGGGGUAGGGGGGCCUGGAACUUCGGGUGGAGCGGUGAAAUGCGUUGAGAUCCGAAGGAACGCCCGUGGCGAAAGCGAGGCCCUGGACCCUUUCUGACGCUGAGACGCGAAAGCCAGGGGAGCGAACGG
rnacentral:rRNA from 1 species